AUACUUUACUGCUUAUGGCACCUCCGACUUGAGCGAAAUAAAUUUCUGUGGACUUGAAGGACGUUUGGUAAUUAGACCUCCAUCUUUCUAGUAAGGAAGUUUUUGCAAAAAUGGAGACAAGCACAUUAAGUUAGAGACAAAGGUAAGGUACAACUCUCGGGCACCAAGUCAAGGUCCCUGCUGUUGGAAGCUCCAUUGCAUGGGGUCUGGAAAUGCAAUGUGGACGGUACAAU
rnacentral:lncRNA from 1 species